rnacentral:rRNA from 1 species
AGUGAGCGCUGGCGGCAGGCCUAACACAUGCAAGUCGAACGGCAGCACAGAGGAGCUUGCUCCUUGGGUGGCGAGUGGCGGACGGGUGAGGAAUGCGUCGGAAUCUGCCUAUUUGUGGGGGAUAACGUAGGGAAAUUUACGCUAAUACCGCAUACGGCCUACGGGUGAAAGUGGGGGACCGCAAGGCAUCACGCAGAUAGAUGAGCCGACGCCGGAUUAGCUAGUUGGCGGGGUAAAGGCCCACCAAGGCGACGAUCCGUAGCUGGUCUGAGAGGAUGAUCAGCCACACUGGGACUGAGACACGGCCCAGACUCCUACGGGAGGCAGCAGUGGGGAAUAUUGGACAAUGGGCGCAAGCCUGAUCCAGCCAUGCCGCGUGUGUGAAGAAGGCCUUCGGGUUGUAAAGCACUUUUGUCCGGAAAGAAAUCCAAUCGAUUAAUACCCGGUUGGGAUGACGGUACCGGAAGAAUAAGCACCGGCUAACUUCGUGCCAGCAGCCGCCGUAACAC